AUUGAACGCUGGCGGCAUGCUUUACACAUGCAAGUCGAACGGUAACAGGUUAAGCUGACGAGUGGCGAACGGGUGAGUAAUGCAUCGGAACGUGCCCGGUCGUGGGGGAUAACGCAGAGAAAGCUGCGCUAAUACCGCAUACGAUCUGAGGAUGAAAGCGGGGGACCGUAAGGCCUCGCGCGAUCGGAGCGGCCGAUGGCAGAUUAGGUAGUUGGUGGGGUAAAGGCUCACCAAGCCAACGAUCUGUAGCUGGUCUGAGAGGACGACCAGCCACACUGGGACUGAGACACGGCCCAGACUCCUACGGGAGGCAGCAGUGAGGAAUUUUGGACAAUGGGCGAAAGCCUGAUCCAGCAAUGCCGCGUGCAGGAAGAAGGCCUUCGGGUUGUAAACUGCUUUUGUACGGAGCGAAAAGGUCUCCUCUAAUACAGGGGGCUCAUGACGGUACCGUAAGAAUAAGCACCGGCUAACUACGUGCCAGCCGCCGCAGUAA
rnacentral:rRNA from 1 species